UUUGGGAUUGGGUAUGGGUAUUCUGCGAAUUUUUGUAUGAUCUGUGCGAUUUGUAGGGCUUAUGGACUAGAAUAGGCUUACAAAAAUUUGUUUUUAUAAUGUUACUUCUUCAAGUUUGAUGGUUUUAAACAAUAUCGCAUUAAGUAGCCCUGAUUGCAACUAGUAUCUCUUACUCAAGGUCAUUUAGUAUUUGCCCAAUACUUCCUCCUUUCUUUCUUUAAUUCUUGGUUGCUUCCAGUUUAGCAUCAUCUGCAACCAUUGACUUACCAUUCGAUAGGAAUAUUAUUCUGCUAACGUUUCGUUGCUGAUAAGAUCCGCAAUUGAAUAUUGCAUUUGGCUUAUUCCUGAGAUAGGACACAGUAUUUGAUCCAGUCGCUCUAACCUGCGGUCAUAUCCACUGCUAUACGUGUGCUUGCAAGGCUGCAUCAGUGACCAUUGUGGAUGGAUAAAAGGCUGCCGAUCGCAAGGAGAAAUGCCCUCUCUGAUAAAAUGGUAUAGGUGAUUCGAUACACUUAAAAGGGCGAUGAUGAAACAAUAACAAUGUUAAUGAAGAUAGUGCCUUGGCGAGGUAACUUUUGUUGCAGCCAUGAAUACCCUUGUGCUUUUCCUAAUACUUUUCUGAGCCCACUUUGUAAACUGUAAUUGAAAUCUAAAGAGCUUUGGCUAUGCGUUUUUUGGCAAUGAUGACAAAAUUUUUAAAACAGCAACAAAUGGUGUGGUUGCUAUGUCCAAAUUGGAUAUCCACAGACUGAGAGAAAGACGUGAAAAACUAAUUGCCGCGCCUGUGCCAUUUUGGUUGAUUUUUUCAAUUGGGCCCUUUGGAUUUGGAGCCUUGUGCUUCAUGCCGAUAUUGGUUUGGGUUUAGUAUUCUUGUAGGGUAUCAUCAGCACUCAUUUAUUCCGCUUUGGCUAACUUAGUGUGUACACUAAACAGUAACUUUUAAAUUUGCCCUGUGCCCUGGACUUGCUCGAAUCACCACUUGAAAAUGAAUAUCAUAACAAAUGCAGAUUUCCGGUUGGAAAUUCUCUGCAGGGCAAUUCAACUGUGGGCUUUAUGGUUGGAAAUUUCAGGUAGUUGUUUUUAUCUUUUAGGAUUGACUCCCUUUCAAUCAAUUUUCCUUUCCACUUAUCAAAGAGAAGUAACAUUCAUUUAGGGGAAGGGGUCGCUACAAGCGAAGUCGGUUUAGAAAGAACCUAAAAAAACCUGAAACUAGCCGCCCUUUUGGGCUACCAGAUAUGAUGGGGGGCAAACCAGAAGGAGGGGCUGGGCAGCAUUCCUGGUAACAAGGGGAGAUCAAAUUAGAAUGGUCCCAUGGGACCCAUUGUCUCAAUCACACAUAAACAUGACACGCUUUCUCAAUUGCUUUUCAUUUUUUAGUAUUGGGUGUCUUGUCCAACUUAUGCACACAUAGACUAAUCUUGAAAAACCAAUCUCACCGUUCAUUAUCAAGUGCUCCAUUUACAGUCAGAGAAAAAGCUCUAUAUAGACUGAUCCGAAAAAAGUUGAUAGCACUAAGAGGGUUUCGAAACUGAAAGCUUAGGAGUUGAUUUGCUUUGUAAGUGCCUACAAGCUAGGAAUGGGGCAAAUUUAGAUCACUAUCAGUUAAAAAGUAGGGUGGUUAUAGUUUUGCAAUCUUGGUUCCUUUUUCCUAUAUCAUUUUUCCUAGGGAAAACAAAUCAUAAUACUAUAUGCCUAGAUAGUGGAUUAUGAGAAUAUACUCCUAUAUUAAAGGACACUUGAAGAUACAAGUGCUAAUCAUAAUACUAGAUGGUGUAUACAAGUGCCUGCAAGUGCUAUAAAGCAUUUCAAACAUGUUAGGGAGUUUGUUCUUGUUUAAAUGCCUAACAUGAAUUACUGGGCAUCUCCAUUACACACAUCUAACACACGUCUGAUAUGCUGACAUCCAUACUCUUAUGCAAGUACAGAGCAUCCGACAUGAGUAUUUGUACAUUUAGAAGAUUCCAUUUCAUAAAGACCUUACCUACUUCAUGCACAGGUGGGAAACUUUUUCCUGUUCUUGGAUCUUGUUUUAUACACUAUGGGAUAUUUCACGAGGUUAAAAAAGAAACAAGUGUGUAUUUACUAUUUAGAAUCUUUGGGCAAUCUGACUAAAUGAAAUACUCUAUCCUCUUAAGUGGUGUAACACAAGACACUCCCAAGCGCGUGUGCGCAGGUACACACAAAGAUGAAAUGAAUGAACUUACUAAAACAAGCACAGCUUGAGUCCAAUGAUAGAGAACGCAUCCAGCGGCUUAAGUUAAGGUGGGCAGAAACUACUCUGCCUAUGAAAUGUAUGUACAAAAAACAUACAUUGCAGCAUAUAAUUGUGAAGCUAAAUCUUUCACUUUCUCUUUGUUCAUCCCCUGGUCCAUCCGCUAAAUCUCUAUUUUUCUUUUCUUGAUCCAAACUUUUCUUGCACUAGAGUAAUUUUUUCAGGAAAAAACAACUCCAAAAAAGUAGCUGCUGCACUUGGGGUUAGCUACCGUUUGCCUCUCUCAUUCUCAUAUGCAAUUAUGUUCGUACAUAUAUUGGAGAAGAAAUAGAUCAAAAAAGCAUACAGUUCUUACCAUCACUGGCGAAAGUUGGCGGAUGAGACAAUAGUGGCCAUAUAACGCUUGAAGGAUGUAAUAGGAACAGCUGGGGAAUCACAAUUUUGGACUGAAUUGGAGAUGAUUAGCUUGUUAUCCGAUGGAAUCACAAAUCCAUCGGACUAUGUUGCACUUGAUGGGAAAGGCUUCUGGUGUAUCCCUUGAUGUGUAAGAGCAGUGUGAUCACUAGGCUUAGAGAUUAGUACCUCUCUUACUUGCUUAGAAAUACUAUCACUCUUCGGCUUUUGUUGAGUAAACUGAAAAGGUGAUGUAAAUGAUAAGAAGAUAGUGAAGUGACAAAAUUAAUUUUGAUUUCUCUAUCAUUUUCGUCACCUAUGCAAAUUCUUCAUCCAAACAUCAAACAAUGAUCUUUUUUUUCAACAAUCACAAAUUCAAGGCCUGAGCUGG